rnacentral:ncRNA from 2 species
CGCUUAUCAAGAAAGACAGAGGGAUAUGGCCCUGUGAAGUCUUAGCAACCAUUUCGAUAUGAAAAAGGUGCUACAUCCAGCCGAAAGGAAAGAUAAGUC